AUGUUGGAAGAUGAUGAUGCUGAUGAUGAUUUGCAUUGGGUUACUGAUGUGAAUCUACUAUGUGCUGAUACUGUUUAUGGGUUGGAAAUAAGAAGGUGUACAUACGCCCUGCCCAGGAAGUGCAACACGGAUCAGGCCGGGCGCCCCAAGUGCCCACUGGACCCCUAUUUCAUCAUGCCUGACAAGUGCAAGUGUGUGGACUUCCAGACUCUAAAGUUGCAGGAGCUGCCUGACGCGGUGCCCCACGGUGAGAUGCCCAGACACAUGCAGCUCUACUGCGACAGGUACCUGUGUGACAAGGUUGUUCCUGGGAACAGGGUCACCAUCAUGGGCAUCUACUCCAUCAAGAAGUUCGGCCUGACCUCCAGCAGGGGCCGUGACAGGGUGGGCGUGGGCAUCCGGAGCUCCUACAUCCGUGUCCUGGGCAUCCAGGUGGACACAGAUGGCUCUGGCCGCAGUUUUGCUGGGGCCGUGAGCCCACAGGAGGAGGAGGAGUUCCGUCGCCUGGAUUCCCUCCCCAACGUCUACGAGGUCAUCUCCAAGAGUAUCGCCCCCUCCAUCUUUGGGGGCACAGACAUGAAGAAAGCCAUCGCCUGCUUGCUCUUUGGGGGCUCCCGAAAGAGACUGCCUGAUGGACUUACUCGCCGAAGAGACAUCAACCUCCUGAUGCUGGGGGACCCUGGGACUGCCAAGUCCCAGCUUUUGAAGUUCGUGGAAAAGUGUUCUCCCAUUGGGGUGUACACGUCUGGGAAAGGCAGCAGCGCGGCCGGCCUGACAGCCUCAGUGAUGAGGGACCCCUCGUCCUGGAACUUCAUCAUGGAGGGCAGAGCCAUGGUCCUGGCUGAUGGUGGGGUCGUCUGUAUCGAUGAGUUUGACAAGAUGCGAGAAGAUGACCGCCUAGCAAUCCACGAAGCCAUAGAGCAGCAGACCAUCUCCAUCGCAAAGGAUGGGAUCACCACCACCCUGAACUCCCGGUGCUCCGUCCUGGCUGCUGCCAACUCAGUGUUUGGCCGCUGGGAUGAGACAAAGGGAGAGGACAACAUUGACUUCAUGCCCACCAUCUUGUCCCGCUUUGACAUGAUCUUCAUCAUCAAGGACGAGCACAACGAGGAGAGGGAUAUGAUGCUGGCCAAACAUGUCAUCACUCUGCACGUGAGCGCGCUGACCCAGACACAGGCCGUGGAGGGCGAGAUCGACCUGGCCAAGCUGAAGAAGUUCAUCGCCUACUGCCGAAUGAAAUGUGGCCCCCGGCUGUCAGCAGAGUCUGCAGAGAAGCUGAAGAACCGCUACAUUAUCAUGCGGAGCGGGGCCCGUCAGCACGCGAGGGACAGCGAUCGCCGCUCCAGCAUCCCCAUCACCGUGCGGCAGCUGGAGGCCAUCGUGCGCAUCGCCGAGUCCCUCAGCAAGAUGAAGCUGCAGCCCUUUGCCACGGAGGCGGACGUGGAGGAGGCUCUGAGGCUCUUCCAGGUGUCCACGUUGGAUGCCGCCUUGUCUGGCACCCUGUCAGGGGUGGAGGGCUUCACCAGCCAGGAGGACCAGGAGAGAUGCUCAGCCGCAUCGAGAAGCAGCUCAAGCGCCGCUUUGCCAUCGGCUCCCAGGUGUCUGAGCACAGCAUCAUCCAGGACUUCACCAAGCAGAAAUACCCGGAGCACGCCAUCCACAAAGUGCUGCAGCUCAUGCUGCGGCGGGGCGAGAUCCAGCAUCGCGUGUAGUGCAAGGUCCUCUACCGCCUCAGGUGA